GGAUUCCCCUAGUAACUGCGAGUGAAGCGGGAAAAGCUCAAAUUUAAAAUCUGGCGGUCCCUGUGGCCGUCCGAAUUGUAAUUUAGAGAAGCGUUAUCCGCGCUGGACCGUGUACAAGUCUCCUGGAAUGGAGCGUCAUAGAGGGUGAGAAUCCCGUCUUUGACACGGACUGCCAGGGUAUUGUGAUGCGCUCUCGAAGAGUCGAGUUGUUUGGGAAUGCAGCUCAAAAUGGGUGGUAAAUUCCAUCUAAAGCUAAAUAUUGGGGAGAGACCGAUAGCGAACAAGUACCGUGAGGGAAAGAUGAAAAGAACUUUGGAAAGAGAGUUAAACAGUACGUGAAAUUGCUGAAAGGGAAACGCUUGAAGUCAGUCGCGUCGUUCAGGACUCAGCCUUGCUUUUGCUUGGUGUACUUCCUGUUCGAUGGGUCAGCAUCAAUUUUGGUCGGUGGAAAAAGGCUUAGAGAAUGUGGCAUCUUCGGGUGUGUUAUAGCUCUGGGUCGCAUACAUCGGCUGGGAUUGAGGAACUCAGCACGCCGCAAGGCCGGGUACUUGUACCACGUACGUGCUUAGGAUGCUGGCAUAAUGGCUUUAAUCGACCC
rnacentral:sRNA from 1 species